rfam:Pedobacter glucosidilyticus strain DD6b PBAC_contig000060, whole genome shotgun sequence.
UAGGGAAAUGCCGAAAACCCUUAAAAAGAGUAGGCA